GUACACUCCUGCGGGAGGCAGCAGUGGGGAAUAUUGGACAAUGGGCGCAAGCCUGAUCCAGCCAUGCCGCGUGAGUGAUGAAGGCCCUAGGGUUGUAAAGCUCUUUCACCGGUGAAGAUAAUGACGGUAACCGGAGAAGAAGCCCCGGCUAACUUCGUGCCAGCAGCCGCGGUAAUACGAAGGGGGCUAGCGUUGUUCGGAUUUACUGGGCGUAAAGCGCACGUAGGCGGACUAUUAAGUCAGGGGUGAAAUCCCGGGGCUCAACCCCGGAACUGCCUUUGAUACUGGUAGUCUUGAGUUCGAGAGAGGUGAGUGGAAUUCCGAGUGUAGAGGUGAAAUUCGUAGAUAUUCGGAGGAACACCAGUGGCGAAGGCGGCUCACUGGCUCGAUACUGACGCUGAGGUGCGAAAGCGUGGGGAGCAAACAGGAUUAGAUACCCCAGUAGUCCCA
rnacentral:rRNA from 1 species